rnacentral:rRNA from 1 species
AUGGCAACACCGGCGGAAGCCCGGCGAUGGCUACCCCCGGCAGCUGGUCAUAUGAAGGUGAAUGUGGAUGGAGCAGUGGCAAGAAACACACAUGGUGGGGCUAUUGCGGCAGUUUGCCGGGAUGCAGAUGGUCUAUACUUGGGAUCCUCGGUUGUAGUCUAUCAGGGAACAAAUGGCCCAUUGAUCCUGGAAACAUAUGCUUGCAGAGAAGCUCUAUCUCUAGUAGAUGAUCUUGCGGUUCAGAAAAUUAUGGUGGCCUCGGACUGUCUGGAUGUAGUGAAUGACAUCUUCAAUGGGACCCUCAUGGAGCUAUAG